ensembl:snRNA U6 U6 spliceosomal RNA
GUGCUCGCUUUGGCAGCACAUAUACUAAAAUUGGAAUGAAGAUUAGCAUGGCCCCUGUGGAAGGAUGACAUACAAGAGACAAACAAAAACUCAUA